rnacentral:rRNA from 2 species
UGGGGAAUAUUGCACAAUGGGCGCAAGCCUGAUGCAGCCAUGCCGCGUGUAUGAAGAAGGCCUUCGGGUUGUAAAGUACUUUCAGCGAGGAGGAAGGUGUUGUGGUUAAUAACCGCAGCAAUUGACGUUACUCGCAGAAGAAGCACCGGCUAACUCCGUGCCAGCAGCCGCGGUAAUACGGAGGGUGCAAGCGUUAAUCGGAAUUACUGGGCGUAAAGCGCACGCAGGCGGUCUGUCAAGUCGGAUGUGAAAUCCCCGGGCUCAACCUGGGAACUGCAUCCGAAACUGGCAGGCUAGAGUCUUGUAGAGGGGGGUAGAAUUCCAGGUGUAGCGGUGAAAUGCGUAGAGAUCUGGAGGAAUACCGGUGGCGAAGGCGGCCCCCUGGACAAAGACUGACGCUCAGGUGCGAAAGCGUGGGGAGCAAACAGG